rnacentral:lncRNA from 1 species
GGCGCGGUCGCCUGGGCCAAGGGCGUGCGUUUCCGUCACCUGAGCAGCCUGACUCGAAAUGACGAAUGGAGCCCAUCCAAUAUUGCCCUCCUCCCCCCCCCCCCCCCUUGGUCUUCCAGGAAUUCAUGUCGACUGCCCACUGGGAGCCAGGUUGGUGCUGGGAGACAUCGGUGAACAGGAGGACGAGCCUCUGGCCCCAGACACCCCCCACCCAGAGGGAGGAGACAGACUGUCGAACAAGCGAACAACAAACGAGCCAACAGUUACAGAUUGUGAUUGAAUGCUGCGAAGGAAACCAAGAAAGGGCGGACGUGCAGGCUCAGCGCGGAGGGGCGGCCGCCCUUAGCCGCAGCUGUCAGAGGGUCCCUGUGAUGAGGCCGCGUUGGAGCCAGGAGCUGGAGGACGGGACGGAGCCAGCCACGCGCAGGCGCGCUACCAAGGAACACACUAAUCUACCUCCCAGGAAGUGGUUGGGGGAGCGCCAAGAGGAGCUGGAGUGACAGCAGGGCACAGAGGCUGCAGUCCUUGCACCGUGCACUUGCAGAGCUGAACACCACUUAACAACGGGAACCUAUGGACACCCAAAAGGACCAGAUGAAUCAUCUCGAAGGACCCGAUAAAUAUCGGUGCUGGGCCCAGGCAUGAGGCUGGGGUUUUGUUUGGGACCCCACACCCACUCGGUGACAGGGCCCCAAGACCAACCUCAGCUGAACGGACCCCCCCCCACUUUCCCAAAGUCAGCUGUUUCUGUCCCUGCAAAUGCCUCUGAAAUGUCAAUUGUGGGCCACUCUCCCUCCACCCUCCUCCUGCGAGUCAUGUAGCAGCUCAAAUAUAUUAUACAUAUUAAAAGAAUAUAUUCUCUGGCAGCCCUGAAGGGGAUAAUGAAACCUAUAUAUAUAUAUCUAUAUAUUUAUACACAAUGGAUUGGCUUGAAAUGCUCUGAAUAUGCCUCCAGCUGUGGCAACCCUUUGAAAUAUGACACUCGAACAACGCCUCCCCCACUGGCGGCUGGCGGGAGACAUUAAAGAUUUAAAAAAGGGGGAAGGAAGGAAGGAGAGGAAGGAGAAGAAAAAGGAGGCAGCUGCUUUUGCCUUUGGCUGUGCAGCGGCAAACUGUGUUUAAAUAUUAAAGCCACCCAUCACCCGGCCCAGCUGUCCGCCCCCUUCAGUGCCAGGGUCUCCGGUGGCUCC